GAUGAACGCUGGCGGCGUGCCUAAUACAUGCAAGUCGAGCGAACGGACGAGAAGCUUGCUUCUCUGAUGUUAGCGGCGGACGGGUGAGUAACACGUGGAUAACCUACCUAUAAGACUGGGAUAACUUCAGGAAACCGGAGCUAAUACCGGAUAAUAUUUUGAACCGCAUGGUUCAAAAGUAAAAGACGGUCUUGCUUUCACUUAUAGAUGGAUCCGCGCUGCAUUAGCUAGUUGGUAAGGUAACGGCUUACCAAGGCAACGAUGCAUAGCCGACCUGAGAGGGUGACCGGCCACACUGGAACUGAGACACGGUCCAGACUCCUACGGGAGGCAGCAGUAGGGAAUCUUCCGCAAUGGGCGAAAGCCUGACGGAGCAACGCCGCGUGAGUGAUGAAGGUCUUCGGAUCGUAAAACUCUGUUAUUAGGGAAGAACAUAUGUGUAAGUAACUGUGCACAUCUUGACGGUACCUAAUCAGAAAGCCACGGCUAACUACGUG
rnacentral:rRNA from 1 species